UUAAUGAUGAAGAAUUCCUGAGAGCCAGCAUUCUGAGUUUUUCUACAGUGAUCCAAUUUAUAUCUCUUGGAAAGAAGAAAGACAAAAAGUCUGUUUUUUUGCAUGUGUACACAAUCACUAUGCAUUUCUAGGCCUUAUACACAAUACCAGCGCCACAAAGGCCAUUUCUGAUUGAAUUCCAUUGACAUGAUUCUGACUUUCACAAGUCCCCAUGGAAAUGAUCUGUACAUUGUAUUGGGUUGGCCAAAAAGGUCAUUCGGAUUUUUUGUGGCAUCGUACAGCAAACCUAAAUGAACUUUUGGCCCAUCCGAUACCUUCUCGAAUGAUUUGACUGUAGCCCUUUCACUGUGAUGUCACAGGAGGAAUCUGAGAUGCUGUGACUGACGCUUCCUUUUCCCUUCCACCGCUCUCAAUGUGUGUCAGAUCGUCCCACCUGUAACCGGACGGCUGCAGCUUCCUGAGGUGACCGCGUCCCUACGGGAAAUGGGGUCAGGUUGGUCAUGGUCACUGGACACCCGCAGGGAGAUUAGUUAAGGUCAAGCAAGCUGAGGUCACAACAGGUCUUGCUGGGAAGAGAGUUAUGUGAGCUCUCCUUGGAAUGAGACUGGCAACCUGACCUGGCAUUAGGCAACAUUCUGUACCGAAGACUUGACAAACAGGUGGGAGAAAACCUCAGUAGGACUGAGUACAGCCUGAAGAAUACUCAGAAAGAUGAAAUGAAGUGAAAAGACCUCUAGGAACCACAUGUUUCUUCCCAGAGAGAAAGAAGCACUCUUACUGGUAACUGAUGGAGUCACAAAGGUUUAUUGUGGCUGCUUCGGAUCAAGGAUCAAAUCUGGUUGCAUAAGAGGCAGGUAUGGUUCGCCUGCUUAGACUACUGUCACCUGAAUCUGAGCUUCCCUGGCUGGUGAAUGCUGGUUGAUACUAGACACUAUGUGUGUGUGUUAGUCACUCAGUUGUGUCCGACUCCUUGCGACCCCAUGAACUGUAGCCCGCCAGGCUCCUCUGUCCAUGGGAUUCUCCAGGCAAGAAUACUGGAGUGGGUUGCCAUGCCCUUCUCCAGGGGAUCUUCCUGACCCAGGGAUCAAACCCAGGUCUUCUGCAUUACAGGCGGAUUCUUUACUAUCUGAGUCAUCAGGGAAGCUCUAGACACUAUAGAAACAGGUUGAAGAAAGAGAGAGAUGGCCUCUGAUAGCACGCCCUCUUACCAGCAGCAAGACAAGGACUGGCAGGAAGACUCCUUCCCUUUAUGUAAUUAUGUCCACUGAGCUCCACCAAAGCAGGGUGAUUUUUGUGCUUUGGUUUUUAAAAGCCAAAUGCUCUGGAUGCUUCAUGCUCAGUUCAUAAUCCAUUUUCACAUUUCUCAUUGCUCAGAGGAAAUGGAAAGCCUGGGUUUUAGAUACAAAAAAUAAAUCAGAAGUGGUUAUUCACGUUUCAUACGUUACUGUUGAUGCUUAGUUAAUCUUGGGUGAAGUCAGUGGAAGGCCACAGUGAGGAGGGUGGAAGUGGCCUGGGGGGGAGGCGUGACAUCAGUGCCUAAACAAUGUGGAAGAGAAAAGCUUCUGUCUUCAGUUGGACAACUAUGCUAUUUGGGUAGGACCAUGAUCAUCUCUCAGUUGAUUUCCAUACCUGCAAUUGCAUCCUGUAUGUUUUGCACAAGGACUAACAUCAGAAGGCAAUGGCACCCCACUCCAGUACUCUUGCCUGGAAAAUCCCAUGGACGGAGGAGCC